rnacentral:lncRNA from 1 species
AAAAAAAGACAAAACAGCAAGUAACAAAAGGGCGGGCCUCAUUCAAAGCCAAGUGAAGUCAAUGGAAAGACUCCCAUUGACAAGCUCAGGCCUAAAGUGGGUAAAUAUGAGAAACAAAGUUUCUGUUCUUUAAAAUAUAAGAAAAAAAUAUGUACUAGGCAGAAUGUUACUAGCUUAUAAAGGCACAUAAUUUUUCACAUACUUGACCAUUUUUCUCUAUACUGUAUAUAGAAUCUCUGAUUAUUCUUGAAGGGUCUGGUACUACCUCGCGGCUACAGCCUCUUGACAAGUUUUCAUGCGAUUUAAAUGCACAUCUGGACUGAUGUACUACUUCCCUCCUGCCCCCAAACAAGUGAAGAAUGAAACAAAGAUAAUACUGAAGCAUACACGACAGGAUCGAGAGUGGUAGUGGAUGACUGAGUGAGUGAAGGAAGAGCUGGAACUAGCAUCCCUAUACAGCAAUGCUUUAUAUACGAGCUGAUAAUGUAGCCACGUAUCGGUAUCCAGGUAACAGGAACCUCGCCUUGGACCAUCUCACUUGCAGUUAUAGUCUCUUUCUGUAACAAGCCAUGAAAACACUUCUUUUGAAGGUUACAAAAUAAGCCUCAUAUUAAAGGGGACAGAAUAGCAGAAGAAUAGGAGAGUUGUAGAUGAUUUGCAAACAAACUCAUUAAGCUCUCACAAUGCUUUUAGUAUGAAUUAGUGAGGUGACAAAGGACUGAAUAUGCUCUGAUAGAGUAGCCUCAUCCUGAAAGUAUAACCUUAAUUGUCUGUCAGAUUCAUUAAACAUGUUCAUUACUCUGCCACAGAUAACCUAGGUACCUAAUCACUGGCAACAUGUUAGAUACCACCACAUAGGUAACUCUUCAGCCAUCUACCAAUAUCAUGCCUAACAGCUUUAUUUCCACAGCUCAAUGAAUAUUGCUUUAUACAUAGAUCUUUCCAUCAUUAAAACAGUGACAUUAAACAAUUACUUAUGGAUUUUUUGUUAUCUUGCUGCUAUUUAAUAAAAAUAACUCUCCACUGGCCUUUGUAAUAACC